rnacentral:rRNA from 1 species
GAUGAACGCUGGCGGCGUGCCUAAUACAUGCAAGUCGAGCGAACAGAUAAGGAGCUUGCUCCUUUGACGUUAGCGGCGGACGGGUGAGUAACACGUGGGUAACCUACCUAUAAGACUGGGAUAACUUCGGGAAACCGGAGCUAAUACCGGAUAACAUUUGGAACCGCAUGGUUCUAAAGUGAAAGAUGGUUUUGCUAUCACUUAUAGAUGGACCCGCGCCGUAUUAGCUAGUUGGUAAGGUAACGGCUUACCAAGGCAACGAUACGUAGCCGACCUGAGAGGGUGAUCGGCCACACUGGAACUGAGACACGGUCCAGACUCCUACGGGAGGCAGCAGUAGGGAAUCUUCCGCAAAGGGCGAAAGCCUGACGGAGCAACGCCGCGUGAGUGAUGAAGGGUUUCGGCUCGUAAAGCUCUGUUAUUAGGGAAGAACAGACGUGGAAGUAACUGUGCACGUCUUGACGGUACCUAAUCAGAAAGCCACGGCUAACUACGUG